UUGCCGAUCCCACCACCAAU
rnacentral:siRNA from 1 species